rnacentral:rRNA from 1 species
GAUGAACGUUAGCGGCGGGCUUAAUACAUGCAAGUCGAGCGGAUGAAGAGAGCUUGCUCUCUGAUUUAGCGGCGGACGGGUGAGUAAUGCCUAGGAAUCUGCCUGGUAGUGGGGGAUAACGUCCGGAAACGGGCGCUAUUACCGCAUACGUCCUACGGGAGAAAGCAGGGGACCUUCGGGCCUUGCGCUAUCAGAUGAGCCUAGGUCGGAUUAGCUAGUUGGUGAGGUAAUGGCUCACCAAGGCUACGAUCCGUAACUGGGCUGAGAGGAUGAUCAGUCACACUGGAACUGGGACACGGUCCAGACUCCUACGGGAGGCAGCAGUGGGGAAUAUUGGACAAUGGGGGAAAGCCUGAUCCAGCCAUGCCGCGUGUGUGAAGAAGGUCUUCGGAUUGUAAAGCACUUUAAGUUGGGAGGAAGGGCAGUAAGUUAAUACCUUGCUGUUUUGACGUUACCGACAGAAUAAGCACCGGCUAACUUCGUGCCAGCAGCCGCCGUAAAAC